rnacentral:pre_miRNA from 1 species
UUUCGGAUCCAUCGCAUAGGUUUUAUGUUUUUCGACGUUUUGGACCAAACUAGUGUGGUCCAUCAUCAGGAAAGCGUGUGGUUUCAAAAAACGCUUUCCUGAUGAUGGACCACACUAGUUUAGUCCGAAACGUCGAAAAACAUAAAACCUAUGCGAUGGAUCUGAAA